AGUCACUGCCAACCUGCAGGAUUACAGCUCGUUCCUCUGGGAACUGCCCUGUAGUGUCUGCAUACAGCCACCCUCGACCUGUCUGCCUGGUCUUUGCAACCUCUAGUGGCUGUUGUUCCACAAUGUGUUGUGAAGGCAGGAACCUCCUUGCUUCCCUCUGAAGCUCCCUUCCUAGAAAGGUCAGAGCCGUUCCUUCCCAUUCAUGUGUUGAAAUAAACACAUGAUUCAGUUAUCACCCUUCCUCAAACCCCUCCAGCUUACAUGCUUUGGAAACAGGCAGCCAAGGUGGAUGGAGAGCAGAGAUGUUUCCUGUCCUCAGCUUCUUGAGAGCUCACUGAUUGAGGCAGCAUGUCUCACAGCCUGAAGCCCAGCAAUUCAGCUUCUCUGGCUUGUCAGCAAGGCUCCAGGACUCUCCUUUUUCUAUGUCCCUGGUGUUGGAAUUACAGGCCUGUGCAGCUAUACUUGGCUUCUCAUGGACACCAGGAAACCCAACCUUGGUGUUUGUUCAAAGGAUAAGAGCCCAUCACCAUCAAGUCAGUAAGAUGGCAGCAGGCAGGCAUAGUAGUGGAGCAGCCACUGAGAGCUCAUGACUUCAUCUACAAACAGAAAGAGGAGUUAACUGGAAAGGAAGCAAGGCUUUUGAAACCUCAGAGCCUUCUGCAAUGACAUACUUCCUCCAGCAAAG
rnacentral:lncRNA from 1 species